UUUAAUAGGGGCAGCUGGCAUGGGGGUUGGGGGGGGGGAUUGCUGUCCCUGUGGGCUGAUGAAAAGGUUCUGGAACGCUAUGGGCAUCGGUUGCCCAGCACUGUGAACGCCCUAAAUGCUACUGAAGUGUUCACUUUAAAAUGGUUAAGAUGCGGGGCUCCUGGGGGGCUCAGUCGGUUGAGCCUCCGACUCCGGCUCAGGUCAUGAUCUCACGGUUCGUGGGUUCGAGCCCCGCGUCGGGCUCUGGGCUGACAGCUCAGAGCCUGGAUGGAGCCUGCUUCGGAUUCUGUGUCUCCCUCUCUCGCUGCCCCACCCCCAUUUGUGCCCCCAUUUGUGCGUGUGCUCUCUCUCUCUCUCUCUCUCUCAGAAAUAAUAAAUAAACGUUAAAAAAAAUUAAAACGGUUAGCAUAGCACGGAGACCUCCCUGCACGCCCCCCACCUGCUCCGUCUGCCCGUGAGGGUCCCGGGCUGCCCCCAGCCCCCUCAGGUCACGGUCACUGGGGUGCAUCACUCCCUUUGUGCCAGUAACUCCAGGCAUGAUUCUGACGCCCCGAGGUCACCAGCGACACCACCAGCCGAAGCGGCCUGACCUCACAGAGCAAAGCCUCAUCCCUUCCUAAUCCCGGCCACUCCCCGCCCGCCCCGCUCACCGGCUCCCCUCCGGUCCUCUCUGACGCUCAGCUUCGGGGGUGCCGGAGGUGAGCCCUCUCCCUCCGCCCGGCUGCAUUCAGGGUCCCCGUCACUCGGGGAAAAACCAAAGGUCUGUGUUGAAAAUGGCACGUCCGCUGAGCAAAAUUCAAGUCGUGAGCCCUGGCUCCCACCUGCCUCCUCAGCGCAGCCCGGUGCCCCCGCCGGGGCCCGUGGUUCCUGCCCCGUUCCGUGCUCCUCCCCGAGCAGAGGGUCCCUGUCGCCUGGGAAGGUGGUGGCUCUGAGGGCAGGACGUGGGUCCCGCGCCGCAGCCGGCUCCGGGAAAGAGCAUCUGCAGGGGAACAGCAGGGACCCCCACCGCCCGGCACGGACUGAUGAUGCUCAGCUCCUGCCACACCGCUUCCCACCGCCCCGCGGGGCAGGUGCCUGCGACCCGAGGUACAGAUGGCGACCGGGCAGACAGUGGUGGCGAGGGCAGGUGUGGUGGCCCCUCGGCACCACUGUCUGCCGAGGACCUCGGUACGUCCAGUGCCGACACACCCUCCCUCUCCUGCCCCGACUGGACCACUCGCCCCCGGGUCCCUCCUGUAGCCCCACGAACCUCCGCCCGGCGGCUGAGUCCCUCGGAUGAUCUCCAUCCCGGUCCUUCUGCCCAGACACUGAAUGAGACGACUUUCCCACCUUCCGGGGGCCUGGCCCGUGACUCGCAGGCCUCCUGGCUAAACGGUUGCCUGAGGGGAAAACAGGACCACAGGGCCUUGCUGAGAACUCCCUGCCAUCCGUCAGGACGCCACCGAGGCUGAGUUCUCUGAGAUGCAAACCCUUCGGCACCGGCCUCUCCUGUCUUUCCAGGAUUCCGGGGCCUUAGGGGCCCUCGGAGUUACAACCUUCGCGCAGGACCAGAUGGUAACCAGUCUAGGCUCCGAGAGCCGGGUGGGGUGUGUCGUGAGCGGUCACCUCUGCCACAGACAGCUGGGGGAUGAACGGGUGUGGCUGUGUUCCCAUCAAACAUUCCUUGAGAAAACAGGCCGAGGACAGGGUGUGGCCGGGAGGCCGUGUUGCUGACCCCUGGCUUCGAGAAAGGCCGAAGGGAAGACGUUCACCGGCUCCGUUUCUUUUCUUCCUGAGUUCAGGACACCGUCACGGCCCCUGGGGGCUCAGGAACUGCUCAUUCAGAAGCAUCUGUGACCUCCCACGCCAGCUGGUUCCCCUUUUCCAACUAGGACGAUUAAAAAAAACCCAAGAACUAUUUUCGAGGCCCUUGCAGACGGCCAUUGGCAGAGUGCCAGCCGCGGCUGGGGCUGCGACGGCAGGGUCCUCUCUGAACCAGCCGGAUGGUGCCUUCUACCCGGGAGAGCAAAUUCCAAGGGACUUCUGGGGUUAAAGCUCCAAGCCUCCGAUGCAAGAAUGCUGCCUCCCCAGGCCGACUGGAGUGCCUCCAAGCAGGCCGUCAACCGAUUGGCUGAUGCCCACCUGGUCUGCCUGACUGGAUUCAAAUGCUAAUCUCUUCAGGAAACAGCCUCACAGACACGCCCAGAAAUAGCUCACCAGCUACCUGGGCAUCCUCUACCCCAGUCAGGCAGACACAUAAAAUUACCCAUCACAGGAUGCUUGGGGUGAGGUCAUGGAGGGUAUGGAGGCUUGGACAUCAAGUGAGCCCCAUUUGCUGCAUUGGAUGUGCAAGAGACCUAACGCCAGUGGGGUAUUUCUUGCUUUUUAAAAAAUAGUUUAUUUA